rnacentral:rRNA from 1 species
AAUUAUUGGGCGUAAAGCGUUCGUAGGCUGUUUAUUAAGUUGGGGGUGAAAUCUCCGGGCUCAACCCGGAGCUCGUUCUCAAAACUGGUAGACUUGAGUAAGGUAGAGGCUGACGGAAUUCUGCAAGUAGGGGUAAAAUCCGUUGAUCUGCAGAGGAACACCAAAAGCGAAGGCAGUCAGCUGGGCCUUUACUGACGCUGAGGGACGAAAGCGUGGGUAGCGAACGGGAUUAGAUACCCCGGUAGUCCACGCCGUAAAUGAUGGAUACUGGACAUUGGUACUCGAUCGUAUCAGUGUCUCAAGCUAACGCAUUAAGUAUCCCGCCUGGGGAGUACGGUCGCAAGAUUAAAACUCAAAGGAAUAGACGGGGACCCACACAAGCGGUGGAGCAUGUGGUUUAAUUCGACAAUAAGCGAGGAACCUUACCAGGGCUUGACAUCCCGAGAAUUCUUUAGAAAUAGAGAAGUGCCUUUAUGGAACUCGGUGACAGGUGCUGCAUGGUUGUCGUCAGCUCGUGCCUUGAGGUGUUCGGUUAAGUCCGUAAACGAGCGCAACCCUAGUCCUAUGUUGUAUAUUUCAUAGGAGACUGCCUUGUCCAACGAGGAGGAAGGUUAGGAUGACGUCAAAUCAGCAUGGCCCUUAUGUCCUGGGCGACACACGUGCUACAAUGGUCGGUACAAUGGGUAGCCAACCCGCGAGGGGGAGCCAAUCCCAUCAAAGCCGGUCCAAGUUCGGAUUGGAGGCUGCAACUCGCCUCCAUGAAGUUGGAAUCGCUA